GGGGGCGUCCUGCUCCUCCCUUCCCCCCGCGGGGAGCUGGGCUGUGCCGGGCCCGUUGCCGGGGCGGCGGGACGGCGGCACCGCCGGGCGGGGAGCGGCUCCCGGGUCCCCGAGCCCGCCGGACACCGUCAGGGGCGGUUGGGGUGUCCUGGGGACGCUCCUCCUUCCCUGCGCCGAUGCCCGCGGGCGCCGAGGUGCUCAGCUGCGGGGGGGGGCAGCGCCAGUAACGGGAGCGGCGUCUCAAGCCGCAGGUCGCUCCUAGCGAGCGUGUGCUGCCCGCGGACGGAGCUCCAGACCGGGCUUCAACGAAGACCUCGGCAAGAUCUGUCUGCCUUCUCAUCUCUGUAUCUAAGGAGGAGGGCAGCCACCACCCAUCUGGACCACUGAAGAGUGCUCCUCACUCCCAACCUUGAGAGAAAUCCACCACCUUGCAGCCAUCAGAAGCUGCUAACUUUCUUCAAACAUGUCAAAGGAGAAACAGUUUGUGCACAUGUGCAACCAAAUGGUUUAUACCCAAGAUGAAGUGUCUGCUGCAAGAGAACUACCCUGGAACAAGGCUUGCUGUAUACCGAACCUUUUUUUUCCUUCAUAAAACCUGUGAUCUCCUUAAUUUUAAGAUAAUGUUUCUCAUUCCUAUUCUUAUAAUUCUCAUUCAUAUGUUCCUACUUACAUCAUAAAUAUUGGUUUAGAAGUAUAAUUAUGUAAGAGAUUUAUCAGCAUGGAGCUCUGGUCACUAAACUCAGCUCAACUGAACUACAUCAAGCACGGCUUUGCCCAAUGCAGAGUAGUUACCUGCAGAGCAUUCCAGCACAGAUGUAAAUUGUAUUGGAAGCCCUUUCAUUUAGAGUCUGAUACUGAUCUACAUGGUUUCUGUUCCCCAAAAAAAGUGUAUAGUUACAAGGCAGAAAAGAUUUUAGGGAAGGAGGUAUUUCACAGCAGCCUAGUCCCAGAAAGCAAACAUAAGAUUUCCUUGCAGCAACAGGCAAGUCAUUGACUUUUGUUGCAGAAUUGCCUAGGGCUAGUCCAAAGCCAACACCUGCCUACAAAAUCCACUGGCAGCAACUACUGUGACUUGUGAGGUGAAGAUGGAGUAAAGUUAGAAAACAUAUAUGAAAAAAUUUAAAAUUGUUCUUACAGCAAUCAUAACUUGUGUGAUAUGAUGGUAUUUGUAAUGUCAAAAUCACUAUGGCAAAUGAUCAUUAAUAUAAUUCCAUUUGUGACUUUU